UACGUACCGUCCAAACGUUAUUCGGAAUUACUGGGCUUAAAGGGUACGUAGGCGGCGCUGUCAGUCGGGUGUGAAAUCCCAGGGCUCAACCCUGGAACUGCGCCCGAUACUGCAGUGCUUGAGGGAGACAGAGGUAAGCGGAACUGAUGGUGGAGCGGUGAAAUGCGUUGAUAUCAUCAGGAACACCAGUGGCGAAAAGCGGCUUACUGGGUCUCUUCUGACGCUGAGGUACGAAAGCUAGGGGAGCGAACAGG
rnacentral:rRNA from 1 species